ACAAAGCCUGUGCUGAAUCUGCCGUUAUGCUUCCCUGCCUGUUAUUAACCCAAGCUCUGUUCACGUUUCAAGGUUGCAGACAGCAAUGCUACAGCCCUGGAUAAUCCUACGUGGUUCUGGUUCUUCUUCCUGUUGGCAGUCAAAAUACCUUGGAUAACUCGUUGUGGUGAGCCUCACAAAUGUGAAUACUCUGCUGAAUUUACCUCAGUCCAAGAAUUGCUCCAGAUCUGCCAGAUCUAACUUCAAGAUCACUUCUCGCUCCACCUGCCCUGCCUGUCCACCCUCCAACGCCUGUUUCCGUGGCUUGCUCACUUCUUCCCAGAAUCAACAACCUUGUUCACAACUUCUCUCCCAUUUCUUAAAAAGUCAGGGAGACUGCUCCACUUUGUCCUACAUCCUCUGCUCUUCUCCUACUGGCCGUGCUCAGAACAGCUGUGGGCGACAUUCAGAACUGGCUGAGAAGAAAAGAAACAGUGGUUUGCAUCAAACAAAUACAACAUGUAAACACAGCACAAACAAUAAAUUUUAUUCUAACAGCA